GACGAACGCUGGCGGCGUGCUUAACACAUGCAAGUCGAACGGAAAGGCCCUGCUUUUGUGGGGUGCUCGAGUGGCGAACGGGUGAGUAACACGUGAGUAACCUGCCCUUGACUUUGGGAUAACUUCAGGAAACUGGGGCUAAUACCGGAUAUGAGCUCCUGCUGCAUGGUGGGGGUUGGAAAGUUUCGGCGGUUGGGGAUGGACUCGCGGCUUAUCAGCUUGUUGGUGGGGUAGUGGCUUACCAAGGCUUUGACGGGUAGCCGGCCUGAGAGGGUGACCGGCCACAUUGGGACUGAGAUACGGCCCAGAAUCCUACGGGAGGCAGCAGUGGGGAAUAUUGCACAAUGGGCGGAAGCCUGAUGCAGCAACGCCGCGUGCGGGAUGACGGCCUUCGGGUUGUAAACCGCUUUCGCCUGUGACGAAGCGUGAGUGACGGUAAUGGGUAAAGAAGCACCGGCUAACUACGUG
rnacentral:rRNA from 1 species